UACGAAGGGGGCUAGCGUUGUUCGGAAUUACUGGGCGUAAAGCGCACGUAGGCGGAUAUUUAAGUCAGGGGUGAAAUCCUGGAGCUCAACUCCAGAACUGCCUUUGAUACUGAGGAUCUUGAGUUCGGGAGAGGUGAGUGGAACUGCGAGUGUAGAGGUGAAAUUCGUAGAUAUUCGCAAGAACACCAGUGGCGAAGGCGGCUCACUGGCCCGAUACUGACGCUGAGGCACGAAAGCGUGGGGAGCAAACAGG
rnacentral:rRNA from 1 species